rnacentral:lncRNA from 13 species
AACCCUGUCUGUCUCUCAGUGGGUUGUUCUAUCACUAACCCUGUCUGUCUCUCAGUGGGUUGUUCUAUCACUAACCCUGUCUGUCUCUCAGUGGGUUGUUCUAUCACUAACCCUGUCUGUCUCUCAGUGGGUUGUUCUAUCACUAACCCUGUCUGUCUCUCAGUGGGUUGUUCUAUCACAGCAUGUUACCACUCUCCCCCACAUGCCCAACACGCUCCACACCAUGACUACCAGGAGUAGGAAUAUCCAUAUAUAACAGCCUGCUGAGAUGAUGGAUGGCAUUGUGUUCUGAACACCUUCUGAACUCUUUAGGUUUAUUUCUGUUUACCACUCAUAGUCUCUCACCACUCUGUUUACCACUCUGUUCACCACUCAUAGUCUCUCACCACUCUGUUUACCACUCUGUUUACCACUCAUAGUCUCUCACCACUCUGUUUACCACUCUGUUCANNNNNNNNNNAGAAAGGCCAAAACCUAGGAAGAAACCUAGAGAGGAACCAGGCUAUGUGGGGUGGCCAGAGUUAACAACCCUACUCUGACGAUAAAUUACCCUGGGAUUUUUAGUGACCACAGAGAGUCAGGACACUCGUUUAACAUCCCAUCUGAAAGACGGCACCCUACAGGGCAAUGUCCCCAAUCACUGUCCUGGGGCAUUGGGAUUAUAUACACUAUACAGUGCCUUGCAAAAGUAUUCAUCCCCC